AUUGAACGCUGGCGGCAGGCCUAACACAUGCAAGUCGAGCGGAGCAGCGGACGGGUGCGUAAUUCCUAAGAAUCUGCCAGGUAGUGGGGGAUCACGUCCGGACACGGGCGCGAAUACCGCAUACUAACAGCUGAGCCUAUGUCGGAUUAGCUAGGUGGUGGUGUACAGGCCUCACAAGGCGACGCUCCGUAACUGGUCUGAGAGGAUGAUCAGUCACACUGGACCUGAGACAGGGUCCAGACUCCUACGGGAGGCAGCAGUGGGGAAUAUUGGAGAAUGGGCGAAAGCCUGAUCCAGCCAUUCCGCGUGAGUGAAGAAGGUCUUCGGAUUGUAAAGCACUUUAAGUUGGGAGGCGUUACCAACAGAAUAAGCCCCGGCUAACUACGUGCCAGCAGCCGCGGUAAUUC
rnacentral:rRNA from 1 species